rnacentral:misc_RNA from 1 species
GAUGAAGAACGUAGCGAAAUGCGAUAAGUAGUGUGAAUUGCAGAAUUCAGUGAAUCAUCGAAUCUUUGAACGCACAUUGCGCCCUUUGGUAUUCCUUAGGGCAUGCCUGUUCGAGCGUCAUUUAAACCUUCAAGCUAAGCUUGGUGUUGGGUGACUGUCCGCUUCACUGCGGACUCGCCUCAAAAUUAUUGGCGGCCGGUACAUUGGCUUCGAGCGCAGCAGAAACGCGAACUCGGGCCCGUCGUAUUGGCUCCCAGAAGCUAUCUUCACAAUUUUGACCUCGGAUCAGGUAGGGAUACCCGUUGAACUUAAGCAUAUCAAUAAGCGGAGGA